ACAAGGGGCUAAAUGUGCUCCCGAAAGAAUGCGCAAGUCUUCAGUGGCACCGAAGGCAACACUGUCAAAUUGCGGGGAAGCCCUAAAGCUUUGUCUACCAAGCAGGGAUGGAAACAUUUCUGUGGCCAGGGUAAUGACCUCGGGUAUGGUAAAAACGGCAAAGAUAGAACAAUGGUAAUCCGCAGCCAAGUCCUAAACUUGCACCCAGCUGGGGCAAGCAUGGAUGCAGUUCACAGACUAAAUGGCAGUGGGCUCUGCGAUAGAGAUUAUUGCGGGGCUUAAGAUAUAGUCGGACCCACCGCGAGAGCGGUUC
rnacentral:ncRNA from 1 species